CGUCUGUAUCUGAGUUCUCAAUGCAGGGCAACAACAAAGCAUCAUAAAUUCUGGACUCCAAAGGCAAUCGGCCCCCCUCUCCAGCACCGGAUUUCCCUAUUUAUGGAAAAGCUCGUCUAUUGGAUGGGGUUUGAUUCAAACGGGCAAGGCCGCGGGCGGACAGGCCAAACAGAAUCGAACCAACAGGAAAACCCUGUCCUGCCUUCCUUUCUCUUCCCUGGAUGGAGGUGAAGGGCGGAGGGAUAAUGGAUAUGGUAGGCGGUAGAUAAUAGAAAGUGAUUGAUGAUUGGAUUAAGCGCGGGAAAAGGGAACAGUAGAACUAGGACACAGGCAUAGGCAUAUGCAUAAGCAGAGGCGGCCUACAUUGAAACGAAUUUGCCUUUUUCAAAUUUGAAAGAAACGGAUGAAUCUUCUUCUGAAUCCUUUUCUCUCAUAACAUCGCCGGCCGGCGGCGUUUUUUUCCAGUCGCAGCAAAACUACUUCGUUUAAGUCAGUUUGACGGCUAACAGAACCAACAAAUCAGUUCAAUUAGAGAAACAACUCUCUCUCUCUCUCGCUCGCUGCAUCUUCUGUGCAGUCUCUCACAACAUUUUCCUCUUUCUUUUUUUGGCUCUUUUCCUCGUUCUGUUUCUCUCUCUCUUUUUUGCCCCUUUUUCUUUUAAAAGCUGCGUAACCUUUCUUUUGCAUAAAUUCAGGGGAUCGAAGAUCGAUCCCUUGCUUGUGCAUCGACCCUUCGAGUUUCUUAUAGUAUAAAUGUUUUGCAAGUUGCAACUCUUAACAAGAAUUAAUCUGUCAAAUAAAAAAAAAAUUAUCUAACAAAUGGCCUAAUUUCAAAAUUGAAUUUAAUGCAUAAAAUUAAUCUGUCAAAAAAAAGAAGAGACAAUAAUAUUUUUGUGCUGAUGUGCUAUGCAGAUAAAUGGGAAAAGAUGGAAAAAAGGAGAGAAAAGGACCAGAUUUCACGUGCAAAGAGAAUGAACCAGGUGAUGUCAAGCAAAAUGGAACAGAAAAGAAGCACGGCAUAUGUUCUCCCAAGGCUCUGACUGCUACUCUCAAUGGCAACCAGGGCGAACAAGGCAAUUCCCAAAUCGAUCAGCAAGACUCCGUUGUAGAGUGCCCCGAGUGAGCCAAUCAAUGAGCAACCAAUCUGACAGACAGCUAAACACUGAGCAUCGAUAUUAUUCUUCUCUAAUGAGCAAUAGCAGCAGUAAAUUUGUUACUAUCAUCUAUCCGUCCAAGAAAUCGAACAAUUCAUAUGUGACAUUAAUCGUAUACACUAUGCAUACAUAUAUACACGCACAUUAUUGGAGAGAACACUGCACAUACAUGUAAAUAUUGCUAGCGAGGGUCAAUACAAACAUACAUAACAGUCUAUCAAAACAUUGAGAUGAAAGAAUACGCAAGGAAAAUCAAUUGAAUUCAAGGUUGAUAAUCUGAGAACAGUUAGUUUAGAAGAGAAGUUUACAUACUUGAAUGUAGAUGAGAAUAACAGCGGAAGACUGAAUCUUAUCAUAAUCGCGAAGCCACGUCUGUAUCUGAGUUCUCAAUGCAGGGCAACAACAACGCAUCAUAAAUUCUGGACUCCAAAGGCAAUCGGCCCCCCCUCUCCAGCACCGGAUUUCCCUAUUUAUGGAGAAGCUCGUCUAUUGGAUGGGAUUUGAUUCAAACAGGCGAGGCCGCGGGCGGACAGGUCAAACAGAAUCGAACCAACAGGAAAACCCUGUCCUGCCUUCCUUUCUCUUCCCUGGGUGGAGGUGAAGGGCGGAGGGAUAAUGGAUAUGGUAGGCGGUAGGUAAUAGAAAGUGACAGAUAAUUGGAUUAAGCGCGGGAAAAGGGAACAGUAGAACUAGGACACAGGCAUAGGCAUAUGCAUAAGCA
rnacentral:lncRNA from 1 species